CUUGGUUAUUUCUGUGACUCUCAUUAUUGUUUGUUGUCGAACUCCAAGAGGAAUAUGUGAACAAUGCAAAGAUGCAGUUGCUUUGCAAACAAAUCUGACAGCAAAAGGAGAUCAGGAAAUUUUGCAGACAGAUGACGACUCAUUGGUUUAUUCUGUAGCAAUUUUCUCUUGUGGAAAAAUUAGAUACAGGAACAAAGACUAGAUACAGGACUACAGAACCUGCAGAAGAUGAGAAAUGAUUUGAAGGCUCUUGAGCUGGAUUGAUAUAUAGACAAAUAUAACUCUUGCCUUUUUCAGUUGGGUUAGAAAUGUACUUGUUC